rnacentral:tRNA from 1 species
CUUAGUGUAAUUCAGUGGUAGAGUGCUUACCUAGCGAUUGUAGGGACCUGGGUUCAAUUCCCAGCACAGAAA